UACGAAGGGGGGCUAGCGUUGUUCGGAAUCACUGGGCGUAAAGCGCACGUAGGCGGCUUUCUAAGUCAGGGGUGAAAUCCUGGAGCUCAACUCCAGAACUGCCUUUGAUACUGGGAGCUCGAGUCCGGAAGAGGUGAGUGGAACUCCGAGUGUAGAGGUGAAAUUCGUAGAUAUUCGGAAGAACACCAGUGGCGAAGGCGGCUCACUGGUCCGGUACUGACGCUGAGGUGCGAAAGCGUGGGGAGCAAACAGG
rnacentral:rRNA from 1 species